AGCGAACGCUGGCGGCAGGCUUAACACAUGCAAGUCGAGCGGGCAUCCUUGUAGUGUCCGCGGCAGACGGUUGCGUAACGCGUGGGAACGUGCCCUUCGGUUCGGACUAACUCAGGGAAACUUGAGCUAAUACCGGAUACGUGCGAGAGCAGAAAGGUUUAUCUGCCGAAGGACCGGCGCGCGUCUGAUUAGCUAGUUGGUGAGGAUAUGGCUCACCAAGGCGACGAUCAGUAGCUGGUCUGAGAGGAUGACCAGCCACACUGGGAGUGAGACACGGCCGAGAAUCAUACGGGAGGGGGCAGUGGCGAAUAGUGGACAAUGGGGGCAGCCCUGAAACAGCCAUGCCGCGUGAGUGAUGUUGGUCUUGAAGUUGUAAAGCUAUGUUAACCGGGACGAUAAUGACGGUACCGGAGGAAUAAGCCACGGCUAACUUCGUG
rnacentral:rRNA from 1 species